UGGCCAAUUGGAAUUUUCACAGCCAAGGCA
rnacentral:piRNA from 1 species